UACGGGGGGGGCAAGCGUUGUUCGGAAUUACUGGGCGUAAAGGGCUCGUAGGCGGCCAACUAAGUCAGACGUGAAAUCCCUCGGCUUAACCGGGGAACUGCAUCUGAUACUGGAUGGCUUGAGUUCGGGAGAGGGAUGCGGAAUUCCAGGUGUAGCGGUGAAAUUCGUAGAUAUUCGGAAGAACACCAGUGGCGAAGGCGACUGACUGGACAAGUAUUGACGCUGAGGUGCGAAAGCGUGGGGAGCAAACAGG
rnacentral:rRNA from 1 species